CGCCUCUUGCAAAAUGAAUGAAUAAGAGGUCCCGCCUGCCCUGUGACUAUAUGUUUAACGGCCGCGGUAUUUUGACCGUGCGAAGGUAGCGCAAUCACUUGUCUUUUAAAUGAAGACCUGUAUGAAUGGCACCACGAGGGCUUAACUGUCUCCCUCUCCCAGUCAAUGAAAUUGAUUUCCCCGUGCAGAAGCGGGGAUAAAAACAUAAGACGAGAAGACCCUAUGGAGCUUAAGACGCCAGAACAGCUCAUGUUAAACACUCCAAAACAAAGGAAAUAAACUAAAUGAAGCCCUGCUCUAGUGUUUUUGGUUGGGGCGACCACGGGGAAAAACUUAACCCCCAUGCGGAAUAGGAAUACUAUUUUCCCAAACUCAAGAGCUUCCGCUCUAAUGAACAGAACUUUCUGACCAAAAGGAUCCGGCAAUGCCGAUCAACGGACAGAGUUACCCUAGGGAUAACAGCGCAAUCCUCUUAAAGAGUCCCUAUCGACAAGGGGGUUUACGACCUCGAUGUUGGAUCAGGACAUCCUAAUGGUGCAGCCGCUAUAAGGG
rnacentral:rRNA from 1 species